rnacentral:pre_miRNA from 1 species
CUUCAUGUCUGAGUUGGACAGGGGAUCUUGACAGUUUCAUGGUUCGCUGCCAGAUCUAUCUUUCCAGCUCACGCGUGGA